rnacentral:rRNA from 1 species
AGCAGCCGCGGUAAUUCCAGCUCCAAUAGCGUAUAUUAAAGUUGUUGCAGUUAAAAAGCUCGUAGUUGAAUUUCGGGGUCAGCAAGUUGGUCGUGCCACUGGUAUGCACUGGCUUUACUGAUUCCUCCUUCUUGAAGAACUGUAAUGCUAUUAAUUUAGUGUUGCAGGGAAACAGGACUGUUACUUUGAAAAAUUAGAGUGUUUAAAGCAGGCUAACGCUUGAAUACAUUAGCAUGGAAUAAUGAAAUAGGACGUUUGAUCCUAUUUUGUUGGUUUCUAGGAUUGACGUAAUGAUUAAUAGGGAUAGUUGGGGGCAUUAGUAUUCAAUUGUCAGAGGUGAAAUUCUUGGAUUUAUUGAAGACUAACUACUGCGAAAGCAUUUGCCAAGGAUGUUUUCAUUAAUCAAGAACGAAAGUUAGGGGAUCGAAGACGAUCAGAUACCGUCGUAGUCUUAACCAUAAACUAUGCCGACUAGGGAUCGGAUGAUGUUAAUUUUUAAUGA